rnacentral:rRNA from 1 species
UACGUAGGUGACAAGCGUUGUCCGGAUUUACUGGGCGUAAAGAGCGCGCAGGCGGUCGUUCAAGUCGAGUGUGAAAGCCCCCGGCUCAACUGGGGAGGGUCAUUCGAUACUGAUCGACUCGAAGGCAGGAGAGGGUAGUGGAAUUCCCGGUGUAGUGGUGAAAUGCGUAGAUAUUGGGAAGAACACCGGUGGCGAAGGCGGCCAACUGGACCACAACUGACGCUGAGGCGCGAAAGCUAGGGGAGCAAACGGG